ensembl:lncRNA
CGGCAAAGGUAACGUGCAUGUUUACCGGUAUGUCUGGAUCAUAUUGCAAUGGCACGAAGACACAUUGAAGCAUUUCAGUUUGACCCAGAAUCCGAUCCAGAUGGAGAAGCAACGGAUGAAGAAGUUGCAACUCAGCGCCUCCAGAAGGAUGUUUCCGAAUGAUGUCUUCACAAAAAACUUCAACCUGCCCCUGUCCCAGACUGUUUCCAGAAGACCAUUCUGAUUCUCCCAGUGAUCAAGUAAACCAAGCUUCUGUGGAGCAGGUCUACGUUGUGGGUGCCCACUUCCAAAUCAUAAUAGCGCUGGCACCAAUGGCAGCAAAUAUCCUGCAGAGAGCACACUAGCGGGAGAUGAAGCAGCACUGCCAAAUUGCAGUAGGUUUUUGUGUUAUCAUACUACCUGCUGCUUCCUCUGCUGCGCCUACUAGCUCCUGGCCUCACCACCCAACCUUCGCCGUCAGCUCUCCCCCAGCUUCGGACCUGCCUACACAGUAUUCUCGGAGUACCCUGGC